rnacentral:rRNA from 1 species
CGGUGUUCAACUGGCGUGCCCGCGGGACGUCCUGCCGGUGAGCUCAGCCCGCGAGGGCGGCUCAACUUGAAAUCCCAUCGCGGUGCUCUUCAUUGAGUGUCGAGGUGGGCCGGCACGAUUACUUUUGAACAAAUUAGAGUGCUUAAAGCAGGCUAAAAUUUUGCCUGAAUACUGUGUAUAUGGAAUAAUGGAAUAGGACCUCGGUUCUAUUUUGUUGGGUUUUCGGAACCCCGAGGUAAUGAUUAAUAGGAACGGAUGGGGGCAUUCGUAUUGCGACGUUAGAGGUGAAAUUCUUGGAUCGUCGCAAGACGGACUAAAGCGAAAGCAUUUGCCAAAAACGCUUUCAUUGAUCAAGAACGAAAGUUAGAGGUUCGAAGGCGAUCAGAUACCGCCCUAGUUCUAACCAUAAACUAUGCCAGCUAGCGAUCCGCCGACGUCCCUCUGAUGACUCGGCGGGCAGCUUCCGGGAAACCAAAGCUUUUGGGUUCCGGGGGAAGUAUGGUUGCAAAGCUGAAACUUAAAGGAAUUGACGGAAGGGCACCACCAGGAGUGGAGCCUGCGGCUUAAUUUGACUCAACACGGGAAACCUCACCAGGCCCAGACACUGGAAGGAUUGACAGAUUGAGAGCUCUUUCUUGAUUCAGUGGGUGGUGGUGCAUGGCCGUUCUUAGUCGGUGGAGCGAUUUGUCAGGUUAAUUCCGAUAACGGACGAGACUCUGACCUGAUAACUAGACGCACUUGCGGCAUCUCAAAGGUCCGCCGGCGGCUGGCUUUGCGCCCGUCGUCGCGCGCGAUUUUUACUGCCGGCGUACAAUAAAUUCUUCUUAGAGGGACAAGUGG